CCUACGGGGGGCAGCAGUGGGGGAUAUUGCACAAUGGGGGAAACCCUGAUGCAGCGACGCCGCGUGGGUGAAGAAGCGCCUCGGCGCGUAAAGCCCUGUCAGCAGGGAAGAAAAUGACGGUACCUGAAGAAGAAGCCCCGGCUAACUACGUGCCAGCAGCCGCGGUAAUACGUGGGGGGCAGGCGUUAUACGGAUUUACUGGGUGUAAAGGGGGCGCAGACGGCGAUGCAAGCCAGGAGGGAAAGCCCGGGGCCCAACCCCGGGACUGCUCUUGGAACUGGGUGGCUAGAGUGCAGGAGGGGCAGGCGGAAUUCCUGGUGUAGCGGUGAAAUGCGUAGAUAUCAGGAGGAACACCGGUGGCGAAGGCGGCCUGCUGGACUGCAACUGACGUUGAGGCCCGAAAGCGUGGGGAGCAAACAGGAUUAGAUACCCGGGUAGUC
rnacentral:rRNA from 1 species